rnacentral:pre_miRNA from 1 species
AAAAAGACAAACCCUGGUUUCCGUGUCCAACGUUUGACCAUUCGUUUUAUUUGAAAAAAUUAUGAAAAAAAUUAAAAAUACAAGUCACACAUAAAAUAUUAAUCAUAUUUUAUCAUCUAACAACAAUGAAAAUACGAAUUAUAAAAAAAUUUCAUAUAAGACGGACAGUCAAAGUUGGACACGGAAACCCAGGGUUUGCCUUUUU